rnacentral:rRNA from 1 species
UACGUAGGGGGCAAGCGUUGUCCGGAUUUAUUGGGCGUAAAGAGCGUGUAGGCGGCCAGGUAGGUCUGCUGUGAAAACUCGAGGCUUAACCUCGAGAUGUCGGCGGAAACCAUCUGGCUAGAGUCCGGAAGAGGAGAAUGGAAUUCCCGGUGUAGCGGUGAAAUGCGCAGAUAUCAGGAAGAACACCCGUGGCGAAGGCGGCUCUCUGGGACGGUACUGACGCUGAGACGCGAAAGCGUGGGGAGCGAACAGG